CCUACGGGAGGCAGCAGUAGGGAAUAUUGCUCAAUGGGGGAAACUCUGAAGCAGCAACGCCGCGUGGAGGAUGAAGGUUUUAUGAUUGUAAACUCCUUUUGUGAGAGAAGAUAAUGACGGUAUCCCACGAAUACUCAACGGCUCACCCCGUGCCAGCAGCCGCGGUAACACGGAGGGUGCAAGCGUUACUCGGAAUCACUGGGCGUAAAGGGUGCGCAGGCGGGCUUGUAAGUCAGAUGUGAAAUCCUGUAGCUUAACUACAGAACUGCAUUUGAAACUUUGAGUCUAGAGUGUGGGAGAGGUAGGUGGAAUUCUUUGUGUAGGGGUAAAAUCCGUAGAUAUCAAGAGGAAUACUCAUUGCGAAGGCGACCUACUGGAACAUUACUGACGCUCAUGCACGAAAGCGUGGGGAGCAAACAGGAUUAGAUACCCCUGGUAGUC
rnacentral:rRNA from 1 species